rnacentral:rRNA from 1 species
AAUAGAUACCCCGGUAGUCCACCCCGUAACGUGGGAACUAGUUGUGGGGUCCUUUCCACGGAUUCCGUGACGCAGCUAACGCAUUAAGUUCCCCGCCUGGGGAGUACGGCCGCAAGGCUAAAACUCAAAGGAAUUGACGGGGACCCGCACAAGCGGCGGAGCAUGCGGAUUAAUUCGAUGCAACGCGAAGAACCUUACCAAGGCUUGACAUACACCAGAACACCCUAGAAAUAGGGGACUCUUUGGACACUGGUGAACAGGUGGUGCAUGGUUGUCGUCAGCUCGUGUCGUGAGAUGUUGGGUUAAGUCCCGCAACGAGCGCAACCCUCGUUCUAUGUUGCCAGCACGUAAUGGUGGGAACUCAUGGGAUACUGCCGGGGUCAACUCGGAGGAAGGUGGGGAUGACGUCAAAUCAUCAUGCCCCUUAUGUCUUGGGCUUCACGCAUGCUACAAUGGCCGGUACAAAGGGCUGCAAUACCGUGAGGUGGAGCGAAUCCCAAAAAGCCGGUCCCAGUUCGGAUUGAGGUCUGCAACUCGACCUCAUG